CAAGCACAUUGAUUACUAGAUCAUGAUGCCCCCCAGCUAGAAUAGUUUGACUUCUUAUCUGGGGUCUAUCAGGCACCGCUGCAGGGCUUAACUCACUGAAUGAGAACAAUCAUCUGAGCCUUUAAUCGUAUGGGUUAGCGCUGCUCCUAAGCAAUGUGUAGUGGUUAUGGUGUUUUGAUUGUUCCUUUACGAGUGACCAGCUAGAAAUGUCUGAAUGUUAAUUGCAUUAGGAAGUUUAACAGUACUGUACAGUUUAUUUUUAAUAAAAGUUGGAGAUAAUU